rnacentral:rRNA from 1 species
ACCUGCUUGAUGGACGUGACGCACUUACGAUGGAUCUUCCCUAGUAACGGCGGAGUGAAGCGGGAAGAGCUCAAAUUUGUAAUCUGGCGGUCUUCGGCCGUCCGAGUUGUAGUCUGGAGAAGCGUCUUCCGUGCCGGACCGUGUACAAGUCCCUUGGAACAGGGCGUCGUAGAGGGUGAGAAUCCCGUCUCUGACACGGACCGCCGGUGCUCUGUGAUGCGCUCUCGAAGAGUCGAGUUGUUUGGGAAUGCAGCUCAAAAUGGGUGGUAAAUUCCAUCUAAAGCUAAAUAUUGGCGAAAGACCGAUAGCGAACAAGUACCGUGAGGGAAAGAUGAAAAGCACUUUGGAAAGAGAGUUAAACAGUACGUGAAAUUGUUGAAAGGGAAACGCUUGAAGUCAGUCGCGUCUUCCGAGACUCAGCUGGGUUUUUUACCCGGGGUGUACUUCUCGGUGUCGACGGGCCAGCAUCGAUUUCGACCGUCGGAGAAAGGCUCUGGGAAUGUGGCACCUUCGGGUGUGUUAUAGCCCUCUGUCGUAUGCGACGGUCGGGAUCGAGGACCGCAGCGUGCCCUUCACCGGGCCGGGGUUCGCCCACGUAACGCGCUUAGGAUGCUGGCGUAAUGGCUUUAAGCAACCCGUUUUG